AUUAUGCCAGUAGGUUGCACUAAUCCGCAUACAAAAGAAAAUCCCUAUGCUUUCCCUCUGUUUUUGUAGCAGCCCAGAUUGAACUGGGAAGUACAUCA
rnacentral:snoRNA from 1 species